rnacentral:misc_RNA from 1 species
GAGGAGUCGUAAAGAUGUGCAACUUCGUAGCAUUCUAAUGGAUGCCAUAGCCAAAAAUUUUAUGGAGAUAAGGAACGGUUCCUCUUUCUUUGGCUUAGAUGUGGACACAAUCUGCAUGAUUUUGUCCAAUGAUAGGCUCAAUGUGAGUUCAGAGAUGGACAUUUUUGAGAGCGCUGUAAGUUGGCUUCACCAUCCUGUGGAUCGAAUGAAGCAUCUGGAAAGAGUGAUGGACAUGGUCAGGUUCUCACACCUAUCAAGCCAGCAAUUGAUGAAAUGCUUCAUAAAAUGUCCCGCCCUUAAGCAGAGCCCCCAUUGUGUGGGCUUGAUCACUAUGGCUAACUGGGUUCAAACCUCCAUCAGCCUCAACCAGCAAGACCCUCUGAAUCUGGAGAUUCAAGAACCUCGGAGCCUUGCUAACAGUGGAGGGAGUGUUGAGCAAUAUCUAAAGUUUCUUUUAUUUAUAUAGAAUUAUACAAGCAAGUAUGAAAUAAUUUUACUUCCACAAUAAAAGAUGAUUUUUCUUUAAAUUAUAAACAACUGAAUUGACAGCAUUAUCAGGUUUGCUAAAUGUGCAACGUACAAAUCAUGCUUAGAUAGAUUGAUCAUCUGUUUGUAAAUAAAGUAUCAUCAAAGGUAAGUACAGUAUAUAUAUGUUAAAAACUUAACUCAACACUGGAAUGAAUCAAUGGAAUGACUGUAAUGAUUAUAAAUCACCUUGAAAUUCAGUUGUUUGCCCUUUCUUGAUUCGUAAUAUUCAUAAACUUAAGAAGGGAAAUUCAGUUUUCUUUUCAAAAUUGUAUGCAUGAGAAUUAAUAUGAUUAAUAUGAUGCCCAGAAUUUUAUUAGAUAUACCUACAUGAAUUACAUUCUUAUUUAUUUGUCGACUUGGAGAGAACAAAAACUUAAUUUAUUUGUGAGAUGGCCUAAAAUCAUAAUUAUAUUUGAUAGAUCAUUUUCUUGAAAUGUUUCAAUUUUACAUUCAAAAAUAUUUCAAUGUGCAUUGUAAACAUAAGCUAUUUCAACAUUUUAAUGUUACAUUCCAUUCUUAUCUUUAUUUCUGUUCUUCUGACCUAUUCCUUUUCUGUCUUUCUUCUUUCUGUUGCCCGUAUAGACACACUGUAGCUCUGAGUUCAAGGAACCCGAUGUCACUUAUGACAUUGUUCUAAUGACUGAAGAUGCUAUCAAGGAUUUUAAUCGUCAUGCCUGUUCCCAAAGUCAAAGCUGGUCCACCAUUUCUGCACCUUGUAUCAAGCAAUACAGGGAAUCAAAAUGUAAUAUUUUAUUGUCAACAUACCAUCAAAAAAAUUGAUGUGAAAAUGAUAUAAAAAGAAGGAUAAAACCGUAAAAAGUAUAUAUUUCCAGGCUCAUCAUAAUAAAAUUGACAUGUACAAGUACACGUAGCAUUGUUUGACUUUCAGUAGUUAUCAUUUAAUUCAGUAAAACUCAUUCACAUGUAUAAAGACCUCUUGGGAUAAAGGAAUUUUAUUUCUUAAAGAGUAUGAUUAUUUAUAUUAGUAGAAGAAAGUUUAACUGUACAAAUGAUGGGUGAAAUAUUAUAAUUUCAUUCAUAAAUCCAAACUAAACCUUUUCUAUUAUCCAAGUUCCUUGUUAGCGAGUUUUACUGUAGGUGGUUACCUUGGAAACAAUUAAUGUACUAUUUAGAUACAGCUUAGAUAGCCAUCUUAUUUGUACAUAACUACUUUUUAAUCAUUUAAUUUAAUUAUGUCACCUUUAUUCAAUUGAUGUUGUUGGCAAAAAGGCAUGGAUAGUUGGAUACUUUCAAAUUUAAGUUGAUCAAGGUUUAAACUACAAACCUUAUCAAAGUGCAUUAAUGCUCCUAAUUUUUAGACACUUCAAAUAUUUAAAUUUGAAAUUCAUUUAGAAGAUGUUAUUAUUACGGUCUGUCCCAGGGACAGAGUAUAGAAAACUUCUUUACAAAGAAUUUCAUUAUCAAUUUGGAAAUUGAUGUUGAAACAUUAUCAUGCAGUUAGAUAUUCAGGUAAACAGAGCUAGGGACUUGCUUCCUAAUUAUGUACAUAUGAUGACCAGAGUUUAUUAUUUUGUAAUAACUGAACUUCCUUAAAAGUAAAACAGCUUAUUAUAUUAUCAUAAAUAUAAAUAUAUACCUAGGGUCUGUGAUGAACGACAAAGAAAAACAGAACGACAUUAAAGUUCUGACAUGGCUUUCUGGAAAGCCAGCCAGUGGCUUUAACAAUCAUCCCAACCCAACUGGACUACAAAGCAUGGAUUGCAUGAUGGGGAGGAAACCAAAGCAAAAACAUGUUUCCAUAAUGGAGGGAAAAAGCAAUGACAAACAUGUAAAAAAGAAAAGGAGUAAAAGAGAUCGAAUGCAGGACCUGCCCCUCUCUGAUGGUGGUAGGGAUUCUCGUACAGAGAUGGUAUCGGAAGGAGACCAGUGGUACAUGGUUGGUGGAACCAGGUACAAAGAUUCGGAUUGUCCCUCCCCCACCAAUAAAGUAUUGGUGUACUCAUACGAGACCAAAGAGUGGAGCCCAGUGGCUCCAUUGAAUAUUGCCAGGAUGGAGCAUUCCCUUUGUGAAGUAGAUGGCUAUAUAUUUGCUAUUGGUGGAAUAGGUGAAGGCAAUCGCUUGCUUUCUUCGGUGGAAUGUUAUAAUCCUAGAACCAAUUGUUGGUUCUAUGUGAAGGCACUCCCUGAGCCCAGGGCUGCUGCCUCUACCUCGGCUGAGGAGGGCAAUGUUUGUCUGAAAGGGGGAUACAGUCAAAUGAAUCAUGGGCAGCCCUCCAGUUUUUACUAUGAGAACAAAGUUGAAUUGUUCUACAACAUGGAAACCAAUAAGUGGUUAAGAAAAUACUGAGGCCCAUCCAUCUUUUCUGGAGUUUUUUUUAAGGACAAUUUUAAAAUCUAAACUUUUUUUUUAAGUGGAUAUUUUAGAAACAUUUAUGUAAAAUGGGGCAAGAGUAAUUAAAUUGUAUGCAACUGUU